ensembl:lncRNA
GUCGUGAGGCUCAAGCGUUAGGUUUAUUUUGCGGGUCAGUGCUUCUUCACUGCUGAUCAGAUCCCAGGGAGAAGGUUUAAAACGGGCUGUGUCCUCGUUUUAAGUAAUUUGCACACCUGCAGCUGAGCGAGGGGGCCUCUGCCUUUUAAAAGACUGUUGUUAAAAGGAGCUACUUGUGCUUCUGACGGGAGCACAGUGCUUACUGCUCAAUUUUAUUUUCAGAAAGAAGUAUUUUUUUUUUCUAAAACACUUCCCCUUGAUGAUAACCUUCUCCUACAGAGAACCCCCAAAAUAAUAUGUGGUUCUUCAUGGUGAUUUGCAUCUUUAAAUAGCCAAAUAUCCAAACCACUACCUUAAUGAGACCGUAAGGUUUGUAGAACAAGCGGUGCAAAGUGAUGGAAAAGAAAUGCUUCGGAUGCAACUUAGGUUGAGGGUGCUGUGUUUAAUUUUUCAUUUCUACUCAUGUUCAGACUUUUUUUUUUAACUAAGAAAAUGAAACCAACUUUUUGACGUAACCAAUUUAAUGACGCUGUAGCUGGGACUGUAAAAGCCUGUUCCUGUGAAUGUGCAUGUCUAACUUUGGAUAGUCCUGUGGACUUUAGUGACUCUCCUCAAUUGAGGAAGUGUAGUGAUAUGUGGAAGUCCUUGUUUUCAAGAUCCAUUUCUGAACUGCUGCCUCGUGACUUGUAUCUAUCAGAUGACUUCUGUUCUUUUCCAAAUAUUACUGGAAAAUCAUCCUAUUGA